AAGUCGUAACAAGGUUUCCGUAGGUGAACCUGCGGAAGGAUCAUUACCGAGUGCGGGCCCUCUGGGUCCAACCUCCCACCCGUGUUUAUUGUACCUUGUUGCUUCGGCGGGCCCGCCAUUCUGGCCGCUAAGGGGCACCUGCCCCUACGCCCGCGCCCGCCGAAGACACCUCGAACUCUGUCUGAAGAUUGAAGUCUGAGUGAAAAUACAAAUAAGUUAAAACUUUCAACAACGGAUCUCUUGGUUCCG
rnacentral:misc_RNA from 1 species